rnacentral:rRNA from 1 species
CUACGGGGUGCUGCAGUGGGGAAUAUUGCACAAUGGGCGCAAGCCUGAUGCAGCCAUGCCGCGUGUAUGAAGAAGGCCUUCGGGUUGUAAAGUACUUUCAGUAAGGAGGAAGGCAGUUGCGUUAAUAGCGUAAUUGUUUGACGUUACUUACAGAAGAAGCACCGGCUAACUCCGUGCCAGCAGCCGCGGUAAUACGGAGGGUGCGAGCGUUAAUCGGAAUUACUGGGCGUAAAGCGCAUGCAGGUGGUUUGUUAAGUCAGAUGUGAAAGCCCUGGGCUCAACCCGGGAAUUGCAUUUGAAACUGGCAAGCUAGAGUACUGUAGAGGGGGGUAGAAUUUCAGGUGUAGCGGUGAAAUGCGUAGAGAUCUGAAGGAAUACCGGUGGCGAAGGCGGCCCCCUGGACAGAUACUGACACUCAGAUGCGAAAGCGUGGGGAGCAAACAGGAUUAGAUACCCGAGUAGUC